rnacentral:rRNA from 1 species
UACGUAGGGUGCGAGCGUUAAUCGGAAUUACUGGGCGUAAAGCGUGCGCAGGCGGUUCGACUAGUCUGAUGUGAAAGCCCCGGGCUCAACCUGGGAAUGGCAUUGGAAACUGGCGAGCUAGAGUGUGGCAGAGGGGGGUGGAAUUCCGCGUGUAGCAGUGAAAUGCGUAGAGAUGCGGAGGAACACCGAUGGCGAAGGCAGCCCCCUGGGCUUUCACUGACGCUCAGGCACGAAAGCGUGGGGAGCAAACAGG